rnacentral:rRNA from 1 species
CAGUCGCCGCGGGAAUACGUAGGUGGCAAGCGCUGUCCGGAAUUAUUGGGCGUAAAGCGAGCGCAGGCGGUUAGAUAAGUCUGAAGUUAAAGGCUGUGGCUUAACCAUAGUACGCUUUGGAAACUGUUUAACUUGAGUGCAAGAGGGGAGAGUGGAAUUCCAUGUGUAGCGGUGAAAUGCGUAGAUAUAUGGAGGAACACCGGUGGCGAAAGCGGCUCUCUGGCUUGUAACUGACGCUGAGGCUCGAAAGCGUGGGGAGCAAACAGGAUUAGAUACCCCGGUAGUCCCUGUCUCUUAUACC